rnacentral:lncRNA from 1 species
AAUGCCCAUGAUCUGCAGUCUCUCAAUGGUAGGUAACUUCUGAUGAGCAGCUAACCAGACAGUAAAUCUAUGUCUUGGUAGUGCAGAUGAUACAAGCAUUACAUUCCUCCAUAGAAACUUAGGAAAUAUAGGCAGAAGUGCAGUAUAGAGUCUAUGAAUUUGGAACUUUCCCAACUUACAAACAGAUUGAAGUCUGUUGAAUAAACUCCCUUGCAACUGAGCAUUUUCCAACAUCAAAGUCCUGCUAGCCAAUAUCUUCUUAAUUACCCAUGAUGAGUUUGAUGGCAGAGCCACAGACUCAAUGGAACUAUGCUUGAUGUAAUAGGUAUGCACCCACUUCACCUAAAGGCAGUCCUUCUUCCUUGUCAAAUCCCAUAGCAAUUUAGCUAUGACUGCUUUAUUCCACACUUCCAUUCUCACAAUGUUAAGGCCACCAGAGGAAAUAGGUUGACAUANNNN